AUUGAACGCUGGCGGCGUGCCUAAUACCUGCAAGUCGAACGCAGUGGGGACGGGUGAGUACCACGUGGGUAACCUCCCAUCAGAGGGGAUAACACUUGGAAACCGGUGCUAAACCGAUACUGAUGGCUGAACCCGCGGUGCAUUAGCUAGUUGGUGAGGUAACGGCUCACCAAGGCCACGAUGCAUAGCCGACCUGAGAGGGUGAUCGGCCACAAUGUGACGGAGACACGGCCCAGAAUCCUACGGGAGGCAGCAGUAGGGAAUCUUCGGCAAGGGACGAAAGUCUGACCGAGCAACGCCGCGGGAGUGAAGAAGGUUUUCGGAUCGUAAAACUCUGUUGUUAGAGAAGCGGUAUCUAACCAGAAAGCCACGGCUAACUACGUGCCAGCAGCCGCGGUAAUAC
rnacentral:rRNA from 1 species